rnacentral:lncRNA from 1 species
GCGCGGAAAUGCAAGGAUCCAAUUACAUUUUAACCAGGGGCUUGAUUGCAAAAGUACAAGAAUUACAAGGAUUAAAUUGAAAGCAACCUUUAGAGCUGGAAAACGGAGUCGUUUCGCAUUGACUGUUCACCGUCUUCUUCCUCAGCAACGGCUCCGCCAUUAAUGGCAGAGACGUUUCAUCCGUUGGCAGUCACCGCUUACGUUUCAUCAUUGAUGGUGCCUAAAGGGUCGGUUGCAGGGCGUUUAU